rnacentral:rRNA from 1 species
AACCUCCGCAAUGUGAGAAAUCGCGACGGGGGGAUCCCAAGUGCCAUUCUUAACGGGAUGGCUUUUCAUUAGUGUAAAGAGCUUUUGGAAUAAGAGCUGGGCAAGACCGGUGCCAGCCGCCGCGGUAACACCGGCAGCUCUAGUGGUAACAAUUUUUAUUGGGCCUAAAGCGUCCGUAGCCGGUUUAAUAAGUCUCUGGUGAAAUCCUGCAGCUUAACUGUGGGAAUUGCUGGAGAUACUAUUAGACUUGAGACCGGGAGAGGUUAGAGGUACUCCCAGGGUAGAGGUGAAAUUCUGUAAUCCUGGGAGGACCGCCUGUUGCGAAGGCGUCUAACUGGAACGGUUCUGACGGUGAGGGACGAAAGUUAGGGGCGCGAACCGGAUUAGAUACCCGGGUAGUCCUAACCGUAAACGAUGCGGACUUGGUGUUGGGAUGGCUUUGAGCUGCUCCGGUGCCGAAGGGAAGCUGUUAAGUCCGCCGCCUGGGAAGUACGGUCGCAAGACUGAAACUUAAAGGAAUU